rnacentral:rRNA from 1 species
GCACAAGCAGCGGAGCGUGUGGUUUAAUUCGAUGCUACACGAAGAACCUUACCAGGUUUGACAUGCAAGUGGUAGGAAACCGAAAGGCGACCGACCUUCGGGGAGCUUGCACAGGUGCUGCAUGGCUGUCGUCAGCUCGUGUCGUGAGAUGUUCGGUUAAGUCCGCUAACGAGCGCAACCCUCGCUGUGUGUUACAAGUGUCACACGGUACCGCCGGUCUUAAGCCGGAGGAAGGUGGGGAUGACGUCAAGUCAGCAUGGCCUUUAUGUCCCGGGCUACACACGUGCUACAAUGGCAGGUACAGAGGGCUGCGAAGCCGCGAGGUGGAGCGAAUCCCAGAAAACCUGUCUCAGUCCGGAUUGAAGUCUGCAACUCGACUUCAUGAAGGCGGAAUCGCUAGUAACCGCGAAUCAGCAGGUCGCGGUGAAUACGUUCCCGGGCCUU